rnacentral:rRNA from 1 species
UGCCAGCCGCCGCGGUAACACGGGGGGCGCAAGCGUUAUUCGGAAUUAUUGGGCGUAAAGCGCGUGUAGGCGGUUCGUUAAGUCUGAUGUGAAAGCCCGGGGCUCAACCUCGGAAUAGCGCUUGAUACUGGAUCGCUUGAGACCGGAAGAGGGUAGUGGAAUUCCCAGUGUAGAGGUGAAAUUCGUAGAUAUUGGGAAGAACACCAGUGGCGAAGGCGGCUACCUGGUCCGGAUCUGACGCUGAGGCGCGAAAGCGUGGGGAGCAAACAGGAUUAGAUA